UUCACUUUCCUCACAGGUUGUGGAGGGCUCUGUGACACAGCAGCUAGAUACACCCUGAGCCAGCUGUUUGCUGUGGAGCUCAUGCAGGAGCAGGUUUAUCCUUAGGACCCACACUGGAGCAGAAGAGAACCCUGAGGAGAAAGGAGCUGCAGAGAGGGUGCUUUCCUGCAGCCAGCGGGGACGCAGCACUUCCUUCCUGUCCCAAGCAUCCUGAGGCAGAGGCUGAUCUCCCACAGGAUGUUUUGGAGAACAUAGAAACUGCCAGAAAGUGUAAUAGCACGGAACAUCAGAAAGGCCUGUCCUUUGUGAAGGUGGAGCACAACAAAGCUGGUCUUUAGUGAAAAUCUUGCAGCAUUAACAAAGAGCUUCAAUCAAAUUAAGCAGGAGUGCACCUGUUAAAUUCUUUCUUCAUCCUGAAAC